UACGAACCGUGCGAACGUUGUUCGGAAUCACUGGGCUUAAAGGGCGCGUAGGCGGCUUCGCAAGUCAGGGGUGAAAGCCCCCCGCUCAACGGGGGAAGGGCCUUUGAUACUGCGGGGCUGGAGGGAGGUAGGGGUCGCGGGAACUUCUGGUGGAGCGGUGAAAUGCGUUGAUAUCAGAAGGAACGCCGGUGGCGAAAGCGCGCGACUGGACCUCUGCUGACGCUGAGGCGCGAAAGCUAGGGGAGCAAACGGG
rnacentral:rRNA from 1 species